rnacentral:rRNA from 1 species
GACGAACGCUGGCGGCGUGCCUAAUACAUGCAAGUCGAACGCAGUGGGGACGGGUGAGUAACACGUGGGUAACCUCCCAUCAGAGGGGAUAACACUUGGACACAGGUGCUAAACCGAUACUGAUGGAUGGACCCGCGGUGCAUUAGCUAGUUGGGUAGGUAACGGCCCACCAAGGCCACGAUGCAUAGCCGACCUGAGGGUGUGAUAGGCCAAGCGGGGACUGAGCCACGGCCCAGACUCCUAGGGGAGGCAGCAGUAGGAAAUCUGCGGCAAUGGACGAAAGUGUGACCGAGCAACGCCGCUUGAGUGAAGAAGGUUUUCGGAUCGUAAAACUCUGUUGUUAGAGAAGCGGUAUCUAACAAGAAAGCCACGGCUAACUGCGUGCCAGCAGCCGCGGUAUAC